rnacentral:rRNA from 1 species
UGGGGAAUCUUCCGCAAUGGACGAAAGUCUGACGGAGCAACGCCGCGUGAGUGAAGAAGGUUUUCGGAUCGUAAAACUCUGUCUUUUGGGGCGAACGUGAGUAUGGUGAACAAUCAUAGUCAGUGACGGUACCAAAGGAGGAAGCCACGGCUAACUACGUGCCAGCAGCCGCGGUAAUACGUAGGUGGCAAGCGUUGUCCGGAAUUAUUGGGCGUAAAGAGCGCGUAGGCGGGAUAGUCAGUCUGUUGUAAAGUGCGGGGCUCAACCCCGUGAUGGCAAUGGAAACAGCUAUUCUUGAGUGCAGGAGAGGAAAGUGGAAUUCCCAGUGUAGCGGUGAAAUGCGUAGAUAUUGGGAGGAACACCAGUGGCGAAGGCGACUUUCUGGACUGUGUCUGACGCUGAGGCGCGAAAGCCAGGGGAGCGAACGGGAUUAGAUACCCCGGUAGUCCUGGCCGUAAACGAUGGGUACUAGGUGUGGGAGGUAUCGACCCCUUCCGUGCCGGAGUUAACGCAAUAAGUACCCCGCCUGGGGAGUACGGUCGCAAGACUGAAACUCAAAUGAAUUGACGGGGUCAUAGCUGUUUCCUG